rnacentral:lncRNA from 1 species
CUUUUACCGUCAGUAUCACAAUCAUAAAAUCAAGAAAACGUCCAUCCAAAAUGUUUGACUCGGCCUUGACAGCUGAGAGACACUCGACAGUCGCCUAUAUAAAGUAGCCAGUUGUGGAACAGCAUUGGUGUCCAGCGUUGAAGAACUAAAAUUUUGACAGUUCAUUUCAGUUGAAGGAGAAGCAGCAUCCGCCGGAUGGAAGACGAAAUUGAGAUCGAUGGGCUCGAUUUAAAAUAAGCCCCUUACAUGUCGCCGAGGAGUAAGAGAUGGAUCAGUACUCUUGAAGGCCUUGAACGGAACGACGCAACCGAAAACGGAAUCAGCCGGUCGAUCUGACUCCGUCCGUCUUCCUUUAACGGACGAGAUUUCAGCACUUUACCCUCUUCACAGUUCCACACAACAAUUCACUGAUGCUGGGCCGGAUGCGUAAAUGGCCGCGUCGACGGGCAGGAAAACCGCCUCCCUGUAAUCAUCAAUUUGUUGCGGCUAACCGGAGAAUGGGAAGAAGAGGAAGAAUCAUCGAAAUUCCAAUGCAAAGAUAGCAGCACCCAUUCCUGCUUGAUUGUUGAAGAGGAGCUGAUUGCCUUGUUUCAACUUGGACGACACUGAUGAUUCACUUGCGAGCUGGGCUUCCGUUUUUAUUGCGGGAGCCAAGACGAGCUCAAAAUGCACUGCGGGACCGACCGCCCCCUUAUUAUUCAAAAUUCCAUCAACUGAAAGGAGAUGGCUCCCAGUUCAGUUGACUCACUUUAGUCAUCGGUUACCGUCAACCCGCCGAAUUCCCCGUGUUGCUGAGUUGCGCCUUUUUGCUUAAAUUCUUUCGACAUUCUUCGUGAAAAGCGGAAUGCAAAACAACUUGUCGGACAACAAGUUCUUUACUCUUAAUAUGGAGCUUUGAUUUCCGAUUUACAGGGUCAAUGUUUUGGGCGUUGCGCAACGGCAACAGUUUAACUGUAG